AUAACUCAACAAGAGAGAACAUCGGGCGAUUGCUCAAUCUCAUUGUCAUUGACCAACGGAUUCCAUGUCGUAAAUUAACCAAGAGGGCCGAUAGAAAAUAAAUUUGGAAAAAAGUUGACCCACUGGAAAAAAAAUGACUACGUUCCUCCAACACUUAUUCAGUUUCAUUGUCGUCAAUCGAAUCAAAGCGAAGCGCGAGUUUGCACAGUAAAGGUUCUUGCACAACUGUCAAAUGAACGUGUCAGCUGGAUAAAGCUGCGCGCGAAAAAAGAUUGUUGGAUCAAUGAAGAAGAAACGCUGCUGCUGCUUCUUAGUCACGAACGUCACUGGGUCAAUGGCAAACUGUAUAUAGUAUCAGCAUACAGUAGCUGUAUGUACUAUAGCCUAGUUUUCCAUAUAAAUAACGUGAAGACGCCAAGCGAAUAAAUCGUUACUCAAUAUAAAACCGACUGCGCUAUACGUGAAUCAAUAUAAAGUCUAUUAAAAUUGUCAAAAGUAAA